CAAUUAUAGUGCAAAAUAAAAGGCAUCAUCAAAUAGUUUAAUAGGUGCAGAGGAAAAUGUAGUUUUGUACAUCAAAUGAUGCAGAAAAUAAUGUGACAACAACUAAAAAGAGAAAAAAAAAAAAAAUCUGUGUUGGGAUAGAAAAUUAUUGCUAUGGAGUUAUUUGUCCUGUAUCUCCUCAAUGGAGGAAAGGGACAGAGAGCCUGCAGGUUUGAUUAUUAUUUUUCUGAUAAAGUGUACACUGGGAUAAAGGGAAGAUUUCCUCUUCCAAGUAGGGUCUGCAGUCCUUGCAGUGAGUGUGUAAUAUCAACAGUUAAAAGACAAAUCACGUUUAUCCGUAAAAACAGAAGUCCACGCUUAGGCUGCAGGGUAGGAGAUUUAGGCAGAGGCACUGACAGUUUUUCUUUAGAAAACUGUUUGUAUUUUCCCCCGCAAUCUACUCAGACACAUACUAAUAGAAUUUUAAAAGGUCUGUACACAUCCACCGGUGCUCAGAUGGCAUGUUGAUAAGCACCUCCUGGUGAUUUUCAGAUCUCCAGCUCCAGCAUGGACCGCUGAUUACCUCAGUCUGCCUGGCAAUGCACAGCACUAAUCUAUCUCAAACCAGAGGCCCCCGAACAGCAUAGGGUGGGGAGCAGUGGAUCACCAGAACCCUCUUCAGAAGGCCUGCAUCCAGGCCAUGCAGCACAGGGAUGUAUUAUUUAUGGCCGUGCCUCAGUGUGAUUACCUCCAGUUCACUGGAAGCCUCUCCAAAACAAAGGUUGCUCUAGUCCUGCUCGCCAUUGGCACCAGGCCCUCCUCGCUCCUGCUCUCCCCCUCUGCUGGAGAAAAUGAGUGCGUUCACUCCCACUGGAAUAGCCAGAGUGAUGGGAUGAGAGGAAGGAAAACGAGGAAGAAGCAAGGAAAAAAGCUUAAGCAACUGCUGAAUAAAGAGCAGGCCUGAAAGAAUUACACUGGUGGAGACUUUGAUGUACGAAUAGGCAGAAGAGCAGAAGAGGAGAACACAUAACUCAGCCCCAGAUUGCACCCUCAAGAAAUCACGUUGAGAUUCCCAACAGGU